AUUGAACGCUGGCGGCAGGCCUAACACAUGCAAGUCGAGCGGAUGAGUGGAGCUUGCUCCAUGAUUCAGCGGCGGACGGGUGAGUAAUGCCUAGGAAUCUGCCUGGUAGUGGGGGACAACGUUUCGAAAGGAACGCUAAUACCGCAUACGUCCUACGGGAGAAAGUGGGGGAUCUUCGGACCUCACGCUAUCAGAUGAGCCUAGGUCGGAUUAGCUAGUUGGUGAGGUAAAGGCUCACCAAGGCGACGAUCCGUAACUGGUCUGAGAGGAUGAUCAGUCACACUGGAACUGAGACACGGUCCAGACUCCUAAGGGAGGCAGCAGUGGGGAAUAUUGGACAAUGGGCGAAAGCCUGAUCCAGCCAUGCCGCGUGUGUGAAGAAGGUCUUCGGAUUGUAAAGCACUUUAAGUUGGGAGGAAGGGCAGUAAGUUAAUACCUUGCUGUUUUGACGUUACCAACAGAAUAAGCACCGGCUAACUUCGUG
rnacentral:rRNA from 1 species